rnacentral:piRNA from 1 species
UCAGCUAUGAUUAGUGUGCUGUUGGU